UGUUGGAUUUGAUAAUCUCCAAAUUCCCACUCAUCUUUAUGACUCUCAAUGCUAUGAUUUCUCACUCCCUCAUUUACCCUUUUCCCAAUACUUUAUUGAGGGAAAUGGACCAGAAAGCCUGAUGACUUGAGAGAGGACUUCCAGGGAGGUCCAUGGAGUCUGCUAGGGAAGAAGAAUGUGUGUGUCAAUUUGUGGCAGAGGCGGGGAAUAUCCAUGAGUGGAGAACAGAUGAGGUGGUGGAUAGAAAGUUAGAAUCCAGGAAACUGGGUUCAUAUCCGGCUAGUGACUAACUAUCAAUACUACAUGAAGCUUCUGAAUGGGUUUAAAGCAACAGAACCCACAAAUAUUUAGAGUGUAACAAAUUUCCAGCAGAAGAUAUUUUGGAAGAAUUUCAUAAAAGGUAUAAUGAAGACGAUCAGACCAUGGGGCUCCAUUUUCUCACUUUUUUCCGUUUCCUUCUUCUUCCAGAUGCUCACAUUGACCUCAGAUUUCAACAGACAGAGGAAAGAAAAGGGGAAGAUUGAGAGGAAGAAAGAGGAAAGAGGAAACCUAAAAAGAAAGAAGAAAGUACCCAGGGAGGGAUAUAGAAGAAGCAUCAUUUUGCUCAAUUUCUAGUUAUCCAACACACACACACACAGAGAGAAAGAGAGA